GAGUUUGAUCCUGGCUCAGGAUAAACGCUGGCGGCGUGCUUUAAGCAUGCAAGUCGCACGGAUUCACGCAAGUGGAUGAGUGGCAGACGGCUGAGGACAACGGAAGGAACCUGCCCACCUGGGGGGGAUACCACCGCGAAAGCGGUGCUAAGACCGCGUACGCUCGGAUUGGGGAGAACGAUCUGAGGAAAACCGCAAGGUGCAGGUGGAGGGGCUUCCGGCCCAUCAGGUAGUUGGUGUGGUAAGGGCGCACCAAGCCGAUGACGGGUCGCUGGUCUGAGAGGAUGAUCAGCCAGACUGGGACUGAGACACGGCCCAGACUCCUACGGGAGGCAGCAGCUAGGAAUCUUGCGCAAUGGGCGAAAGCCUGACGCAGCGACGCCGCGUGGGGGAUGACGGUCUUCGGAUUGUAAACCCCUUUUGCGCGGGACGAGGAAGGACGGUACCGCGUGAAGAAGCCCCGGCUAACUACGUGCCAGCAGCCGCGGUAAC
rnacentral:rRNA from 1 species